rnacentral:rRNA from 1 species
GAUGAACGCUGGCGGCGUGCCUAAUACAUGCAAGUCGAACGCUUUGUCUUUAAUUGAUAUGAAGAGCUUGCUCUGAUUUGAUUUUAUCUGACAAAGAGUGGCGAACGGGUGAGUAACACGUGGGUAACCUACCUCUUAGCAGGGGAUAACAUUUGGAAACAAGCGCUAAUACCGUAUAACACUAACAACCGCAUGGUUGUUAGUUGAAAGAUGGUUCUGCUAUCACUAAGAGAUGGACCCGCGGUGCAUUAGCUAGUUGGUAAGGUAAUGGCUUACCAAGGCGAUGAUGCGUAGCCGAGUUGAGAGACUGAUCGGCCACAAUGGGACUGAGACACGGCCCAUACUCCUACGGGAGGCAGCAGUAGGGAAUCUUCCACAAUGGGCGCAAGCCUGAUGGAGCAACGCCGCGUGUGUGAUGAAGGGUUUCGGCUCGUAAAACACUGUUAUAAGAGAAGAACGACAUUGAGAGUAACUGUUCAGUGUGUGACGGUAUCUUAUCAGAAAGGAACGGCUAAAUACGUG